GUUGGUGAGGUAACGGCUCACCAAGGCGACGAUCGGUAGCUGGUCUGAGAGGAUGAUCAGCCACAUUGGGACUGAGACACGGCCCAAACUCCUACGGGAGGCAGCUCUGGGGAAUAUUGGACAAUGGGCGCAGGCCUGAUCCAGCCAUGCCGCGUGAGUGAUGAAGGCCCUAGGGUUGUAAACCUCUUUCAGCAGGGAAGAAGCGAAAGUGACGGUACCUGCAGAAGAAGCACCGGCUAACUACGUGCCAGCAGCCGCGGUAAUACGUACGGUGCGAGCGUUGUCCGGAAUUAUUGGGCGUAAAGAGCUUGUAGGCGGUUUGUCGCGUCUGCCGUGAAAAUCCGGGGCUCAACCCCGGACUUGCGGUGGGUACGGGCAGACUAAGAGUGUGCUAGGGGAGACUGGAAUUCCUGGCGUAGCGGUGAAAUGCGCAGAUAUCAAGAGGAACACCGAUGGCGAAGGCAGGUCUCUGGGCCACUACUGACGCUGAGAAACGAAAGCGUGGGGAGCGAACAGGAUUAGAUACCCUGGUAGUCCACGCCGUAAACGUUGGGAACUAGGUGUGGGCCUCAUUCCACGAGGUCUGUGCCGCAUCUAAUGCAUUUAAGUUCCCCGCCUCGCGGAGU
rnacentral:rRNA from 1 species